GCGAGUCAUUGUAGCAAUACAAGGCAGACGGCUCAGUAACGCGUAGUCAAUCUACCCUAUGGACGGGAAUAACCUCGGGAAACUGAGAAUAAUGCCCGACAGAACAUUAUACCUGGAACGGUUUAUGUUUCAAAUGAUUUAUCGCCGUAGGAUGGGACUGCGGCCUAUCAGUUUGUUGGUGAGGUAAUGGCCCACCAAGACUAUUACAGGUACGGGCUCUGAGAGGAGUAGCCCGGAGAUGGGUACUGAGACACGGACCCAGGCCCUAUGGGGCGCAGCAGGCGAGAAAACUUUGCAAUGUGCGAAAGCAUGACAAGGUUAAUCCGAGUGGUUUCUGCUAAAGAAACCUUUUGCUAGUCCUAGAAACACUAGUGAAUAAGGGGUGGGCAAGUUCUGGUGUCAGCCGCCGCGGUAAAACCAGCACCUCAAGUGGUCAGGAUGAUUAUUGGGCCUAAAGCAUCCGUAGCUCGUUUUGUAAGUUUUCGGUUAAAUCCAUACGCUUAACGUAUGGGCUGCCGGGAAUACUGCAUAACUAGGAAGUGGGAGAGGUAGACGGUACUCGGUAGGAAGGGGUAAAAUCCUUUGAUCUAUUGAUGACCACCUGUGGCGAAGGCGGUCUACCAGAACACGUUCGACGGUGAGGGAUGAAAGCUGGGGGAGCAAACCGGGUUAGAUACCCGGGUAGUCCCAGCUGUAAACUAUGCAAACUCAGUGAUGCAUUGGCUUGUGGCCAAUGCAGUGCUGCAGGGAAGCCGUUAAGUUUGCCGCCUGGGAAGUACGUACGCAAGUAUGAAACUUAAAGGAAUUGGCGGGGGAGCACCACAAGGGGUGAAGCCUGCGGU
rnacentral:rRNA from 1 species